AUGGCUUUUUUUCUCUUGGGAACAAAUCUCUCUCCUUUUUCCUCAUCUAUUCCUUCUGAUUUCCCAAUUUUUCUCUUUUUCUUCUCCGCGCUUUGGUUUUUCCAGAUUCCAUUUUCAAAUUCGCCGCUCUUCAAGUGGAAUUUUUAUUUGGGAUGGACUAUUUUUUCUUCUUCUUGUUGUUACUACUUGUGUUUUGGGCUUCAUAGUGCAUUGAAUUGGUGGAAAGUGAACAAGCUGUAUUACUCUGAUGAAGUGUGGUGA